GAGUGAGCGGCAAGAGCUCAGAUUUGAAAUCGCCUCGGCGAGUUGUAAAUUGCGGGUUGGAGUCUUUGUGGCGGCGUGUGUCUAAGUCCCUUGGAACAGGGCGCCAUUGAGGGUGAGAGCCCCGUGCGGCACGCGCCUAAGCUUUAAGACCCUUCUGACGAGUCGAGUUGUUUGGGAAUGCAGCUCUGAGUGGGUGGUAAAUUCCAUCUAAAGCUAAAUACUGGCGAGAGACCGAUAGCGAACAAGUACUGUGAAGGAAAGAUGAAAAGCACUUUGAAAAGAGAGUGAAACAGCACRUGAAAUUGUUGAAAGGGAAGGGUAUUGGGCUCGACAUGGGGACUGCGCACCGUUGCUUCUUGUAGGCGGCGCUCUGUGCGGUUUCUGGGCCAGCAUCAGUUUUUGCCGCGGGAGAAUGGGGGGAGGAACGUGGCUCUUCGGAGUGUUAUAGCCUCUCUCAGAUGCCGCGAGCGGGGACUGAGGUCUGCGAUUCGUUCAAGGAUGCUGGCACAACGGCGCAAUAC
rnacentral:rRNA from 1 species